rnacentral:rRNA from 1 species
GAAGAGAGGAGCUUGCUCUUCUUGGAUGAGUUGCGAACGGGUGAGUAACGCGUAGGUAACCUGCCUUGUAGCGGGGGAUAACUAUUGGAAACGAUAGCUAAUACCGCAUAACAAUGGAUGACACAUGUCAUUUAUUUGAAAGGGGCAAUUGCUCCACUACAAGAUGGACCUGCGUUGUAUUAGCUAGUAGGUGAGGUAAUGGCUCACCUAGGCGACGAUACAUAGCCGACCUGAGAGGGUGAUCGGCCACACUGGGACUGAGACACGGCCCAGACUCCUACGGGAGGCAGCAGUAGGGAAUCUUCGGCAAUGGGGGCAACCCUGACCGAGCAACGCCGCGUGAGUGAAGAAGGUUUUCGGAUCGUAAAGCUCUGUUGUAAGUCAAGAACGGGUGUGAGAGUGGAAAGUUCACACUGUGACGGUAGCUUACCAGAAAGGGACGGCUAACUACGUGCCAGCAGCCGCGGUAAUACGUAGGUCCCGAGCGUUGUCCGGAUUUAUUGGGCGUAAAGCGAGCGCAGGCGGUUUGAUAAGUCUGAAGUUAAAGGCUGUGGCUCAACCAUAGUUCGCUUUGGAAACUGUCAAACUUGAGUGCAGAAGGGGAGAGUGGAAUUCCAUGUGUAGCGGUGAAAUGCGUAGAUAUAUGGAGGAACACCGGUGGCGAAAGCGGCUCUCUGGUCUGUAACUGACGCUGAGGCUCGAAAGCGUGGGGAGCGAACAGGAUUAGAUACCCUGGUAGUCCACGCCGUAAACGAUGAGUGCUAGGUGUUGGAUCCUUUCCGGGAUUCAGUGCCGCAGCUAACGCAUUAAGCACUCCGCCUGGGGAGUACGACCGCAAGGUUGAAACUCAAAGGAAUUGACGGGGGCCCGCACAAGCGGUGGAGCAUGUGGUUUAAUUCGAAGCAACGCGAAGAACCUUACCAGGUCUUGACAUCCCGAUGCUAUUUCUAGAGAUAGAAAGUUACUUCGGUACAUCGGUGACAGGUGGUGCAUGGUUGUCGUCAGCUCGUGUCGUGAGAUGUUGGGUUAAGUCCCGCAACGAGCGCAACCCCUAUUGUUAGUUGCCAUCAUUCAGUUGGGCACUCUAGCGAGACUGCCGGUAAUAAACCGGAGGAAGGUGGGGAUGACGUCAAAUCAUCAUGCCCCUUAUGACCUGGGCUACACACGUGCUACAAUGGUUGGUACAACGAGUUGCGAGUCGGUGACGGCGAGCUAAUCUCUUAAAGCCAAUCUCAGUUCGGAUUGUAGGCUGCAACUCGCCUACAUGAAGUCGGAAUCGCUAGUAAUCGCGGAUCAGCACGCCGCGGUGAAUACGUUCCCGGGCCUUGUACACACCGCCCGUCACACCACGAGAGUUUGUAACACCCGAAGUCGGUGAGGUAACCUUUUGG